CACCAAUGCCAGCAACCGAGGCGUGAAGGGUGGUGGGCCGGGUACCUUCUGGUCCUGUACCCUUCUCUUUGAACAGGCAGUUCUGCAACCUCUUGAAAUCUAUGCCUGAGUCUCACUGAAGAGGAGUGGGUGUGUGUGUGUGUGUGCCUGUGCCUACCCAGACACCGUGAGCAGACCUGGCGGCUCCUCACCCCCCGUGCCCACAGUCCAGCCGUAGAAAGAGGCCAGGGAGAGGACAUGGUGCCUUCCUGCUCCCGUCUGAAGCAGUGGGCAGAAGACACGGAGGAUGUGCAGGGAGAGCCGGGGGCAGGUGUGCAGAAAUAGCCGGGAAGAGUGUGUCCACAUGGGGAAGCUUCUUUGCAAACUUCUAUGGACUGGGCUUCACCCAUACACCAGGCUCUGCCUUUUCACGGGCGUUCCCAUUCAAAUACCCCCACAGGUCAGCCAGACAGCACGAGUGCCCAUCCUUCCCCAAGAGGAGUGGCGAUUCCGGGCCAGAGAGGCUGAGCUCCUUACCCAGCAUGGCGCUGGGGGGCAGGGGCCAAGAUGACAUUGGCAGGUCUCCUGACUCAAGUCCAACGCUUCCCCACCCUGCUUCUAAGGCUCCACCUUGGAAAGCCCCCAAGGAGCACAAGGUCAAGGUGGAUGAGCACACAGUGGUAAGUAGCCUGGCUCCUCCUCCUGGGUACCCGAGUAUGACGAGGGCGUGCAGUCUUGGGGCAGCCUCGG
rnacentral:lncRNA from 1 species